GUCGAGCAGGGACGAAAGUCGGGACUAGUGAUCCGGCGGUGGCUUGUGGAAGCGCCGUCGCUCAACGGAUAAAAGGUACCCCGGGGAUAACAGGCUGAUCUUCCCCAAGAGUCCAUAUCGACGGGAUGGUUUGGCACCUCGAUGUCGGCUCGUCGCAUCCUGGGGCUGGAGUCGGUCCCAAGGGUUGGGCUGUUCGCCCAUUAAAGCGGUACGCGAGCUGGGUUUAGAACGUCGUGAGACAGUUCGGUCCCUAUCCGCUGUGCGCGUAGGAGUCUUGAGAAGGGCUGUCCCUAGUACGAGAGGACCGGGACGGACGAACCUCUGGUGUGCCAGUUGUCCUGCCAAGGGCAUGGCUGGUUGGCUACGUUCGGGAGGGAUAACCGCUGAAAGCAUCUAAGCGGGAAGCCUGCUUCGAGAUGAGGACUCCCACCCACUUGAUGGGGUAAGGCUCCCAGUAGACGACUGGGUUGAUAGGCCGGAUCUGGAAGCACGGUAACGUGUGGAGGUGACCGGUACUAAUAGGCCGAGGGCUUGUCCUCAGUUG
rnacentral:rRNA from 1 species